GAUGAACGCUGGCGGCGUGCCUAAUACAUGCAAGUCGAGCGAACAGACGAGGAGCUUGCUCCUCUGACGUUAGCGGCGGACGGGUGAGUAACACGUGGAUAACCUACCUAUAAGACUGGGAUAACUUCGGGAAACCGGAGCUAAUACCGGAUAAUAUAUUGAACCGCAUGGUUCAAUAGUGAAAGACGGUUUUGCUGUCACUUAUAGAUGGAUCCGCGCCGCAUUAGCUAGUUGGUAAGGUAACGGCCUACCAAGGCAACGAUGCGUAGCCGACCUGAGAGGGUGAUCGGCCACACUGGAACUGAGACACGGUCCAGACUCCUACGGGAGGCAGCAGUAGGGAAUCUUCCGCAAAGGGCGAAAGCUUGACGGAGCAACGCCGCGUGAGUGAUGAAGGUCUUCGGAUCGUAAAACUCUGUUAUUAGGGAAGAACAAAUGUGUAAGUAACUAUGCACGUCUUGACGGUACCUAAUCAGAAAGCCACGGCUAACUACGUG
rnacentral:rRNA from 1 species